CAGAAGCUGUGCCCUCCCCCUUCCUGAGCCUUCAAGGGUGAAGCUAAAGUAAGCAGAGCCAACAGUGGCUGAGGGAAGAGCUUCUAGAAUCAGGAGUAGCACCUUCCUGGCCAUCUACAACCCAGAGUCAGGGUCACUGACUACUGAAGAAACUCUUAUGGCGGCUGGAUGUCAGCUUUGACAAUAACAGCCAAGACACAAAAGGAGUCAGAAACAGUCUUUCAUCUUUUACGCUGAAGAGACGAUGUAGGAGCUUUUUCCUCAUUGCUUUUCAAGAGA
rnacentral:lncRNA from 1 species